CACCUGAGGGCAAUGAGAAUGAUUCCACAUGUGAGGUUGAGCUGCUGAAGGAUUGUGGGAAGGCAUGGUGUGGAAAACUGGAGAGAAACACAAAUGAAAAUAAGUAUCCCAACCAGAAAUGCAUGUGUUGCAUGUAUUUACAAAACUGUACAAACCUUUGGAGGUGGAAUACAGGCACUAGGUGUGUUACUGUAAAUGUGGUUGAUGGCUUUCUGAAGGAUCACACCCUGCUGAGUAAGGCUCUUAAGGUACUCUGAGCUUUCCUUCGUGCUGUCAUGGUCCUCACCAACCUUCAUGUGUGCAACAAAGAAGCCUCUCAGUUUAAAUUACAAGUAUGUAGCAUAAACAUAACACUGGCAAACAUGCAAAACAAGCAUUUUAAAGCACACCUGGCUCUUGUAUAUUGAAUAAGCCUCUUUCUCAUGUUGCAGAGCUGAUCGAAACUCUCCUUUACUCUCGUACACAGUGGCGAGCAGGUGAUGACUGCAGAGAAAGUAGAAAUGAGCAGAGGAGUGCGACGUGCGGAUGGUCUUCUCCGCUCACAAGCAGGGUGAGGUAUCGAGCACGAUACAGCAGCUGUAGGGACGUCGAAAGCCGGCCUCCAGCAAAGCAAUAAAGGGCCAGGUCAAAGACUGUAUGACAUCACUCCAGAAGUGGGUGAUGACUUAGAGGUCUGGAACCAGGUUUGGAAACAGGUCAUGUAGAAAUCAAUAGUAAUGCAUAUUUACAUCCGCAUAUUCCCCCAAGAUGUAGCUGAGUCGUCCCAGGAGACGCAGGCACAUGCACACAUCCUCAUGCAGGACCCCACAUACGCUGCUGAACAGAGUCAGGGCCUGGCUAAUCAAUUCAUAGCCGUCUUUGAGAAGCCCUGAAAGCAAACAUAAAACCCUGCUGAUGAGCUUUGAAUGUAGAAGAAUACUGCUCUUCACAUGAAGUACACUGAAUCCAGAUGGGGACUCAAACCCACUAAAUGAUUUUACUUACAAGCAAGUCCAAAUCAGUAGGAUGUUAGGAUCGGUAUUGAUUAAAGGCUACUCUGUGUUAAAUGCCUAGGUGGUGGUGACCCUCAAAUAUUUCUAUAUAUACACUGUGUGACAGAAUUGACAGUUCUUGUAAUCUAAUGGUGCCUUCAAGUGCAGUUGUGUUCACUAUGUGCAUGAUAAGAGUCCAUUUGAAUGACCCACUGAUGGGGUAUUCACAACACAACAUGUUAAAGGAUAGGUUCACAUGUUUAUCUUAAAACAAUGCUCACAUGUGCACAUACACAUUAAAGGUGAUAUUGCUUGAUGUAAUUGUUCCCCCCAUUGGCGACAAAGACACCCUUACUCAAAACGAUUUUCAAUAUAAGUAAUGGCGGACAACAUCCACAGUCCUCUUUCUGUGCAAAAAUGCAGUUCUGAUGUAGCUAAAAUAGACUCCAGCAGUCUGAAGAUACAGUACUUGCUUUCAUUUUCUGACUAUUGAAGGCUCAUAUUUACUUUUCUGAGCUUGAGAAUAUAUUUUUACACAGAAUGAGACCGUGGAUUUUGUCCCCUAUCACUUACAUUGACAUUUCUUUUUUCUGGUCAGUAUGGACAGCAGCAACAAUUACAGCCAACAAAAAGUCUUUCACUUUACACUGUCACGAUCCUCUCUGUCUGCUGUCUUAGUGUGCUCCUCUACCUAAUAUUAUUGUUUAUCUGGUCAUGAUUUGUGUUCAGUAUUUUGGUAUCUUCCUUAUUUCUGAUCUGUUCCAUGUUUAGUGUUGUCCUGUUUCCUGGUUGGUGCUGUCACUGUUCUCUGCCCUGUUCUGUUUAGCAGUCGGUCCAUGUUUUCUGUUUUGUGGUUUUGUUCCUUGUCUUGUGUUUCCUCUGCUUAGCCUUGUUUAUUUCAAUGUUCAUUUGCAUGCUCUGUUUAGCUCACUUAGUACCUGUUCUGUUUUGUAUCUUAGGUUUAGAGCUGCAUUUUAGUUCUGUGUCUUAGUUAAUGUCUUUGUAUUUACUCCUAGUUCUGUGUUUGCAUUAUUUUGGCUUUGUCUGCUCUGUGUUCUGUUUAAUCCUAGUUUCAGUCUGUUUUACCUGUUGGUUGUAGUUUAUUUGUGAUCUGUCUGCUUGUGUCUGAUUUGACUGUUAUUUUUAUUAUUCUAAUCUGUUACGUCUUAUUUUUAUAUGGUCUGUGUUUAGUAGCCUGUGUUGUCUGUUACUCCAGAAUCCCUAUGCCUGCCUGUCUCUGUUUUCCCCUGCUGUCUCUCAGCCUGCCUGUCUCGUUAGUCCUGAUCCCUCUCACCUGGGUUGCUCGUUAAUUCCUAGGUUUAAAUGUUUGCUGUUUCUGUUCAGUGUCUGUUGGUCAUUGUUGUGUGAUGAGUGUUCUGCCUGUUUCUGUGACGUUUUACACGUGAACUGCAUGUAAGCCUGAGUUUCUGGAUU